rnacentral:tRNA from 1 species
CGCCAGAUAGCUCAGUUGGUAGAGCACAUGACUAGCUGAAUAUUCAGGGGGCCAUGGUUCAAAUCCUGGUCUGGUCU